UACGGAGGGGGCUAGCGUUGUUCGGAAUUACUGGGCGUAAAGCGCGCGUAGGCGGCCUUCUAAGUCGAACGUGAAAUCCCCGGGCUCAACCCGGGAACUGCGUCCGAUACUUCCGAGCUGGAGGUAGGUAGGGGAGAUCGGAAUUCCUGGUGUAGCGGUGAAAUGCGCAGAUAUCAGGAGGAACACCGGUGGCGAAGGCGGAUCUCUGGGCCUUACCUGACGCUGAGGCGCGAAAGCUAGGGGAGCGAACAGG
rnacentral:rRNA from 1 species